AAUAUAUCUGCGAAGAAAUAAAAUUGUGUCUCUUGUCUGAGAAACCAUUAAAGGUAAAAACCUGCCUUUUAAAUAUGUAUAGAGACAUACUCCGAGAGCACUUGUUUGGUUUCCCAUCAAGGAGCAGAAAGAAAGGAAAUCAUAUGAGUUUGUUCCAUGGAGUAAGAAUGUAAAAUUAGAAGUAAAUCCAAUAAAGACACAGGUCAAAAGAGAGAAAAAAACAACAAAAAACUUUUUAAUUUAAUUAUGUUCUAAAUGGAUUUUUUGAGUCUCGACUUCGAUUGGCCUAGUACAAGUGAACAUGGAGAAGAAGAUGAGUCCCUUUAUUCGAACGACAAAGUUCUGGAGCUUCAAGACAAUAAAAGAAUUGAAGAGAUUAAAUCGAAUACAUCUCAAGAAACAGUUACGACGCUCUCGAUAUUAGUUAAAUAAUACCUCUUCAUAUUUGGAGCAGUCCUUUGAACCAAAUCGGCUCUUGAAUGAGUCAAACUCACCCCAAAUACAUUUUACAUUGAAACCUUUAAUCCCCGUACAAUUGGAUCUACAAGGAAAACAGGAUGAAAAAUUAAACAUAUCAUCACUAAGUUCAAGUUCCAAAGAAGAAAUCGUCACUAGCCAGGAAUCGAUAAUAAGCCGCUCAAAGCUUUACCGUAGACACCUCAAGAGGCAUCGAACAUCAUUUUCACAUUUCCAGUUAUGUGAAUUGGAAAUAGCAUUUGAAUCUACUCACUAUCCAGAUGUUUAUUUCCGAGAGCUCAUUGCUGAUAAAUUGGGACUCUCAGAAGCCCGAGUUCAGGUUUGGUUUCAAAAUCGAAGAGCCAAAUGGAGAAGAGGAAUUAAGGAUUAUGGUGCUAUUAUUAAUGAAGCCGUCCCUUUUACUACUCCAAUGCUGACAGAUUGUUCAUCCUUUGCCUCACCUUCAAACACACCUUCUUCUCCUAAAGAAACGAGUUUCCUUCUUUCUUCAUCCUCCGAGUCUCCUAAUGAUAUAUUGAAGUCUAUUAUAGAAGACCAAAUUUAUAAUAAUGAUACCA
rnacentral:misc_RNA from 1 species